AGAAAAAAAAAAAAAAAAAUCACCUUUGAAGUGUUGCCUUGAUUAGGCAGAUAUAAACUUCUCUGCAGCAUUAAGCCAUGAAGGUAUAUCAAACGAGGUUUACUAAUAUCCCAAGUGACAAUUGAUGACAAUACCACCAAGAGAGCCGAACCUGUUCCUCUCUUGGGAGAUGGAGCAUGAAUUAUCCUAACCUUUUUACACCCUAAACUAAAAAAUUUAAAGGAAGAAACAAAAAGGAGGGGC
rnacentral:misc_RNA from 1 species